rnacentral:sRNA from 1 species
CAAAUAGCUGGAAUGGAAACAAGAGGCACCUACGUUUAGGUCUCAGCUCUGAGGUCUCGGAACCAGCGCCUUCCCCAGGAAAGAACUUGGCAAUGCCUGGGAGUAUUGUCCCUGUGGGGCCAAAGAAUCUUUGUCAAUGGAGAAACAACAGGCUGCCUGAACCCGUGAAUGGCCGUGGAUACUUCAUGGCUUCAGCCAGAACUCUGAUGGAACUUUUAGCCAGAGAAUCCAAUGCUGCAAAGUUCUAAUCCCUUCUCUGCAAGGGCUUGUUGUGGUCUUACGACAGUGAAAUGGGGGAUACCA